UUUUUUAUGUAUGUUACAUCAGAACUUUUGACCAGGUAGACCGAUUUCGACAAAUUUUGUUUUAAUCGAAAGGUGGAGUGUGCCAAUUGGUCCCAUUUAAAUUUAUUUGAGAUAUAAUAACUACUUUUCGAGCUAUAUCUAAUAAUGCGUUUUUACUUGACGCUUUUUUCGUCGACCUACGUUGUAUUAUACCACAUAACUUUCUACUGGAUGUACCGAUUUUGAUAAUUCUUUUUUUGUUGGAAAGGGGAUAUCCCUAGUUUGGUACCAUGAUAAGGAAACCAGGAUCUGAUGAUGGGAUCCCAGAGAAAUCGAGGGAAACUCUCGAAAAUCUGUAAUAACUUUUUACUGGGUGUACCGAUUUUGAUAAUUUUUAAUUUAAUCGAAAGCUGAUGUUUAUCAUGUGGUCAGAUAUAAAUUUUAUCGAGAUCUGAUAACUACUUUUUGAGUAAUCUUUGAUAACGCGUAGUUGCUUGACUAUUUUUUCGUCGAUCUACGUUGUAUUACUUGUCGAUGUAAUUGAAGUCGGUUUUUUUUUCGUUUGCGUGCAAACACA
rnacentral:misc_RNA from 1 species